AUUGAACGCUGGCGGCAGGCCUAACACAUGCAAGUCGAACGAGUGGCGGACGGGUGAGUAAUGUCUGGGACACUGCCCGAUGGAGGGGGAUAACUACUGGAAACGGUAGCUAAUACCGCAUACCAUCGGAUGUGCCCAGAGGGGAUUAGCUAGUAGGUGGGGUAACGGCUCACCUAGGCGACGAUCCCUAGCUGGUCUGAGAGGAUGACCAGCCACACUGGAAGUGAGACACGGUCCAGACGCCGACGGGAGGGAGCAGUGGGGAAUAUUGCACAAUGGGCGGGAGCCUGAUGCAGCCAUGCCGAGUGUAUGAAGAAGGCCUUCGGGUUGUAAAGUACUUUCAGCGAGGAGGCGUUACUCGCAGAAGAAGCACCGGCUAACUCCGUGCCAGCAGCCGCGGUAAUAC
rnacentral:rRNA from 1 species